CUUCUGACUGCAUCCUCGCGACUAAUGAAAAUAUUGUUUAACUAACAAACGACUCCAUCACUUUUAAUGGCAAUUAUUGUCAAUACUUUCAUUAGCCGCGCGAACCUCUGCACCAGAAGCCCCCAAGAACUCAUGUUCUAUGAUACUGCUAUUUAUCAUCUAAUCCUAGAAGAAAGGGGCCAUAAUUGGCCCCUUUCU
rfam:Pragia fontium strain 24613, complete genome.